rnacentral:lncRNA from 1 species
GGCUGGGCACAAUCAGGAGCCACUUGUCAAAAGAAACUAACUUUAUUUUUAGAACCACACACGCCAAACAAAACAGCCUCUCAGGAAAAACCCUCAGAGCCUCAACUGCCACCACCGGCUUUCCACAAGCCUCUCUCUCCCACAUUGCUCAUGAGUUUUAUUUACAACAUGUCAGACACAUGGACUUUCCCCAACGCAAGUUCCAAGGAAGUCAAGAAUGUUUCAUCUGUAACUGACAUCAAGGCCGACAUAGACAAGAAGUACAGGUGUGUCAGCACCACCCAGGUCCACAUGAGCAAUGUGACCAUCACCCUCAGCGAUGCCACCAUCCAGGCCUACCUGUCAAGCAGCAGCUUCAGCAAGGGGAUAAUGUACUAAAUUGAUCAGAAGGU